GACGAACGCUGGCGGACGUGCCUAACACAUGCAAGUCGAGCGGAGGUACAAUGAGAGCAAUCGAGAUGUACUUUAGCGGCGGACGGGUGAGUAACGCGUGAGCAACCUGCCUAUCACAGGGGGAUAAGGCGGCGAAAGCCGCUCUAAUACCGCAUGAGACCCUCAAAGCGAUGCAAUGGGGGUGAAAGGAGCGAUCCGGUGAGAGAUGGGCUCGCGUCCGAUUAGGUAGUUGGUAGGGUAAGGGCCUACCAAGCCAAUGAUCGGUAGCCGGCCUGAGAGGGUGAACGGCCACAUUGGAACUGAGAGACGGUCCAAACUCCUACGGGAGGCAGCAGUGGGGAAUAUUGGGCAAUGGGCGGAAGCCUGACCCAGCAACGCCGCGUGAGGGAAGAAGGUUUUCGGAUUGUAAACCUCUGUUCUUGGGGAAGAGGAGGAGACGGUACCCAAGGAGGAAGCCCCGGCUAACUACGUG
rnacentral:rRNA from 1 species